rnacentral:rRNA from 1 species
UACGUAGGAGGCAAGCGUUAUCCGGAAUGACUGGGCGUAAAGGGUGCGUAGGUGGUUUGGCAAGUUGGUAGCGUAAUCCCGGGGCUCAACCUCGGUGCUACUACCAAAACUGUUGAACUUGAGUGCAGGAGGGGUGAAUGGAAUUCCCAGUGUAGCGGUGGAAUGCGUAGAUAUUGGGAAGAACACCAGCGGCGAAGGCGGCUCUCUGGUCUGUAACUGACGCUGAGGCUCGAAAGCAUGGGUAGCGAACAGG